rnacentral:rRNA from 1 species
CGGAUUGAGGUCUGCAACUCGACCUCAUGAAGUCGGAGUCGCUAGUAAUCGCAGAUCAGCAACGCUGCGGUGAAUACGUUCCCGGGUCUUGUACACACCGCCCGUCAAGUCAUGAAAGUCGGUAACACCUGAAGCCGGUGGCCUAACCCUUGUGGAGGGAGCCGUCGAAGGUGGGAUCGGUAAUUAGGACUAAGUCGUAACAAGGUAGCCGUACCGGAAGGUGCGGCUGGAUCACCUCCUUUCUAAGGAG